CAUCCAAACACCCAUUUCUUCCCUCUUCUUCACCAUCUUUCCUUUUUUCUUUCUUUCUCUCUUUUUCCUUCCCACUGCCGGCGGCACCACUGAUGCAACACCACCGCAGGUCCCACUCCGGCCGGCCACCCCCUCUUCCCCUUCUCUCAUUUUCUCUUCAUCUCUCUCACCCAUGGAAAACCAUCACCCCACCACCCAUUCUCACUCUCUCACCGCAUUUUAUUUAUGGCCACUGUAUCUUGGUGCCCACUACUGCUCCAUUUCAUCUUCUCCCAUGGGUUCUUCAAUUUUAGCCACAGGUAAAUGGUGCUUGCUGUGAGAGUCAAAGUGGGACCCCGACACUACCCGAUCACACCACCACCUAACCUGCCUAUCAGCACCUUGCCACCCUUCUUCCCACGUAUAACAAAGAAGGGAAUUGACCCACUACAGAUCUAUAAUUUUCCAGGAAAACACAUUUAUACAAACGAGAUGCUGAAACAUAAAAACACUUCAAAUCAUGGGUGACUGACUGCUACACUUACUGGGCUUCAAUAUUGUCUUCUAAAUCUUGGUUUUCUGAACUCGGCUCAUCUUGUUGGGGAUACGGUUCAUUCAUGACUUCCACAGGUGCGCUAAUGAAAACAUCGUAAACCUGAUUGAUGGGGAUGACAGCCUGUAGCGAACGAAGAGCAUGGAAACAUCGUAAACCUGAUUGAUGGGGAUGACAGCCUGUAGCGAACGAAGAGCAUGGUCUACAAUCCGAGCAGCGGGGUAGAAGGAUAGCAGUAGGAGAACAGGAUAAACAUACCAGAAGAGUGGCUGCGGGAAAAUCAGUGAAGCCAUGAAUGAAACAGACGGAGAGCGGGCGGUUUCCAAACCGCAGACGUAAGUGGAGUGUGUGGAAUGAACAAGUGAAGAGAGUGAGGGGGACUUCAAUGGAGACGAAGGAAAAGGCGGCUAGAAUGAGGAGAAAGCAAAAGAGGUUGGUCCAAGUGAUCAGAUCCCAACUUAUCCCUCCUAUUUGGGAUUUCGCCAUGUUUAUCAGGGCUAUGAUGCAGAACCUCAAAUCGAAGUAGCGCAUGACGCAUUUGGUUCAUAAACAUGGCGAAAUCCCAAAUAGGAGGGAUAAGUUGGGAUCUGAUCACUUGGACCAACCUCUUUUGCUUUCUCCUCAUUCUAGCUGCCUUUUCCUGUUUGUAUGUGUUCUUGUGGAAAAUUGUAGGACUGUGGUGGGUCUGUUAGUAUGUGUUUUUGUGGAAAAUUAUAGGGACUGUGAUGGGUCCGUUCCCAUCUUUUUUUAGAGGCUCUUUACGUGAUUGUCUCACUAUUCAUUAUUUAUAACAUUUGAAGCGCUUUUGUGGUAGUAGUAGCCUAGUUGGAUGACUCGGAUCUGGGUUUUUAGGAUGCUCACGAUGCCUUUUUUUUGUUCAAGAAGAAAAGAAAAGGGCGUCUACUUUAAAACUUUUCCAUUUGCUCUUAUGUUAAGGAUAUAAAAUUUUGCCCUUAUUGUUCAGAUAAA